AUUGAACGCUGGCGGCAGGCCUAACACAUGCCAGUCGAGCGGAUGAAGGGAGCUUGCUCCUGGAUUCAGCGGCGGACGGGUGAGUAAUGCCUAGGAAUCUGCCUGGUAGUGGGGGAUAACGUCCGGAAACGGGCGCUAAUACCGCAUACGUCCUGAGGGAGAAAGUGGGGGAUCUUCGGACCUCACGCUAUCAGAUGAGCCUAGGUCGGAUUAGCUAGUUGGUGGGGUAAAGGCCUACCAAGGCGACGAUCCGUAACUGGUCUGAGAGGAUGAUUAGUCACACUGGAACUGAGACACGGUCCAGACUCCUACGGGAGGCAGCAGUGGGGAAUAUUGGACAAUGGGCGAAAGCCUGAUCCAGCCAUGCCGCGUGUGUGAAGAAGGUCUUCGGAUUGUAAAGCACUUUAAGUUGGGAGGAAGGGCAGUAAGUUAAUACCUUGCUGUUUUGACGUUACCAACAGAAUAAGCACCGGCUAACUUCGUG
rnacentral:rRNA from 1 species